AGAGUUUGAUCAUGGCUCAGAACGAACGCUGGCGGCGUGCCUAACACAUGCAAGUCGAACGGAGCCUGAAGGAGUAGCAAUACUUUUUCAGGUUUAGUGGCGGACGGGUGAGUAACACGUAGGUAACCUACCCUUAGGCGGGGGACAACUCAGGGAAACUUGAGCUAAUACCGCAUAAAUCCACGGGCUGGGAUGCUUGUGGGGAAAGUGGCAACACACCUAAGGAUGGGCCUGCGGCCUAUCAGGUAGUUGGUGGGGUAAGAGCCCACCAAGCCGAAGACGGGUAGCCGGGCUGAGAGGUUGAACGGCCACACUGGAACUGAGACACGGUCCAGACUCCUACGGGAGGCAGCAGUGGGGAAUCUUGCGCAAUGGGGGAAACCCUGACGCAGCGACGCCGCGUGGAGGAUGAAGGUCUUCGGGUUGUAAACUCCUUUUCUUGGGGAAAAUGAUGAUGGUACUCAAGGAAUAAGCCACGGCUAACUCUGUGCCAGCAGCCGCGGUAAGACAGAGGUGGCGAGCGUUGUUCGGAAUUACUGGGCUUAAAGGGCGAGUAGGCGGUAGAGCAAGUCUGGGGUGGAAUCCUAUGGCUUAACCAUAGAACUGCCUUAGAAACUGCUUUACUUGAGUCAGUGAGGGGAGGGCGGAAUUCCUGGUGUAGCGGUGAAAUGCGUAGAUAUCAGGAGGAAGGCCUGUGGCGAAAGCGGCCCUCUGGCACUGUACUGACGCUGAGGCGCGAAAGCGUGGGGAGCAAACAGGAUUAGAUACCC
rnacentral:rRNA from 1 species